UACGGAGGGUGCAAGCGUUACUCGGAAUUACUGGGCGUAAAGCGUGCGCAGGCGGUUUGUUAAGUCUGUUGUGAAAUCCCCGAGCUCAACUUGGGAAUUGCAAUGGAUACUGGCAGGCUGGAGUAUGGUAGAGGAAGGUGGAAUUCCCGGUGUAGCAGUGAAAUGCGUAGAGAUCGGGAGGAACACCAGUGGCGAAGGCGGCCCCCUGGGCUGAGAUUGACGCUCAGGCACGAAAGCGUGGGGAGCAAACAGG
rnacentral:rRNA from 1 species